rnacentral:rRNA from 1 species
GACGAACGCUGGCGGCGUGCCUAAUACAUGCAAGUAGAACGCUGAAGGCGGAGCUUGCUUCUCUGGAUGAGUUGCGAACGGGUGAGUAACGCGUAGGUAACCUGCCUGGUAGCGGGGGAUAACUAUUGGAAACGAUAGCUAAUACCGCAUAAGAGUAGAUGUCGCAUGACAUUUGCUUAAAAGGUGCAAUUGCAUCACUACCAGAUGGAUCUGCGUUGUAUUAGCUAGUUGUUGAGGUAACGGCUCACCAAGGCAACGAUCCAUAGCCGACCUGAGAGGGUGAGCGGCCACACUGGGACUGGAACACGGCCCAGACUCCUGCGAGAGGCAGCAGUAGGGAAUCUUCGGCAAUGGACGGAAGUCUGACCAAGCAACGCCGCGUGAGUGAAGAAGGUUUUCGGAUCGUAAAGCUCUGUUGUGAGAGAAGAACGAGUGUGAGAGUGGAAAGUUCACACUGUGACGGUAUCUUACCAGAAAGGGACGGCUAACUACGUG